CUGUUAGACUUAUACCUAAAGCAAGACCAGGAUCUAACCCAGAUAAGAGAGUUAUUAGACUUCCAACGGGAUUC
rnacentral:tRNA from 1 species